GGUGAACGCUGGCGGUAGGCCUAACACGUGCAAGUCGAACGGCAGCACAGUAAGAGCUUGCUCUUACGGGUGGCGAGUGGCGGACGGGUGAGGAAUACAUCGGAAUCUACUUUUUCGUGGGGGAUAACGUAGGGAAACUUACGCUAAUACCGCAUACGACCUACGGGUGAAAGCAGGGGAUCUUCGGACCUUGCGCGAUUGAAUGAGCCGAUGUCGGAUUAGCUAGUUGGCGGGGUAAAGGCCCACCAAGGCGACGAUCCGUAGCUGGUCUGAGAGGAUGAUCAGCCACACUGGAACUGAGACACGGUCCAGACUCCUACGGGAGGCAGCAGUGGGGAAUAUUGGACAAUGGGCGCAAGCCUGAUCCAGCCAUACCGCGUGGGUGAAGAAGGCCUUCGGGUUGUAAAGCCCUUUUGUUGGGAAAGAAAAGCAGCAGGUUAAUACCCCGCUGUUCUGACGGUACCCAAAGAAUAAGCACCGGCUAACUUCGUG
rnacentral:rRNA from 1 species